rnacentral:tmRNA from 1 species
GGGCUUGACAGGCUUCGACAGUCUGUGUAACCUGAUUCAUUCAUGCCGUAGCCAUCAUCAAUACGUUAAAAGGUGAUACCCAGACAUGCAGAACAAUCAGUUCUCAGUCCUUUCUUUACUGCAAAGGAUUUCGAUUACGCUCCAGUAGCCUAACGACACUGGUUUCUAUAGUUGAAUACUUCUAUAGCCAACUACCAGUGAGUCAUAUAAGUAUUCGAUAGUGGUAACCCACUAACAACAAAAGGUCAUUUGCAUAAGCAUGUCAACAUGGAACAGGAAGCAGACUGGACGGGAGUUCGAUUCUCCCCUGGUCCACAA